rnacentral:lncRNA from 1 species
GAUGAACACACAAUACCAUGACUCCGGCAAAAUACUCCCAUAUUUUGCUUGAAGAUUUACUGACAAUUAAUAUAGAAAAAGCCAUGGAUUUGGAUGUACCCAUGUAAGUUUUUCUCCUGACAAAGAAACACUUAAAUUCCAUUUAUGGUGCAACUUUCUAACUCACUAUUUGUGUUGCAGUUUGCUAAAUAUAUUGCAUUUUCAGAUGAUGACAAUAGUGUGUAAGCAUAUUUGCAUUACCAUUUUAUUCAUCUCACUGUUAUGUGCUUCUACUAUAUACUCUUAUUUGAUACCAUUCAUUUUUCUGUUACAAAAGCGUAAAUCAAUAGCAAAGGAACUCAAAAAUAGAUGUUGAAUCUUCACAUGAGGUAUGCUUUAUGAACUUAACACAGCAAGUUUAUGUUCCACCACACUUAACUAUUCAAUUAAACCACACCACAGAGCACAAAUGUUUUACCAUCUAAUACUCCUGAAAAUUCCCCCAUCGCAUUAGAAACGCCAACGAAAAGGUUCUUACAACUCCUUUUUUUCUCUUUUUAACUUUAAACAUUUACUUUACCAAUUACCAUGACAAAUAUUGUUCCUUAAUACAUUCCUCAUGAAAGAAAUAUUGUCACAGGCUCAAGCAAAUCUCUGGAACACAACUUCCUCAUGAAAGAAAUAUUGUCACAGGCUCAAACAAAUUCGAUUAUGCAGAUCCACUUACAUGACAAGAUGAAGGUAUUUUCUUUGACACUUACAAAUCGUCAGGUUCAAAGACACAUUAAAAGAAACACAACUUCCUUAUCAAAAAAUGUCUAAACGUACAGUUGAUUGGAUUUUGUUAAUCAAAGCAUUAUAGUGCCCCUAUGUUUUAAUACCUACAAACAUAAUUCUCUAAUAGUUGAUUAUUACAUAACUUUGCGUCUCACCGCAUGCAAACUGUAAUGUCAUCGAAAUGAUGUUUUUUCUAUUAGAGAAGCUUAGCUGAUUUCCAUUGAGAAAUAAAUUCUUCAGCAAAUCGACACCUAGAUACAGAAAGAAAGUAUAUAUAUAAUAUUUUAAUUGACUAGAAAUUUAAAAAGGUUGAGCAGUUACGAUAAAUUAAAAACAACUUAAGUCUGUGUAACGUUAGAUUGGGGUAAAAAACAUUUGUCUUGCAAUCUACAUCCUUAAAUGCAGAUAUUUUCAUUUAUACAUGUCGCUUCUCUUCCUGCAAUUAGUGCAUAGUUUCUAUUAUUUUUUAUAUAACAUUAACAGUGCGUUUGGAACUUCUUAUACCUCAUACUAGGUGAAUGCCCGUGCGUUGCAACGGAAAUAUAUAAUACAACGAUAACUUAUGUACAAAUAUGUAAUAUAUUGUUAUGAGAAAAGGUCCUCAAGCACUUAUUUGAUCUGAGCGACGACGAUGGAGACUUCACCGGUGUGGCAGCGCGCGAGGUCGCGCCACCAGAGCAAGCCGUCGCGGCCCUCAGAGUUAUCCUCGAUCGGAGGAGCCCGCGAUGCCGUGGCCCACCGGCCCGGUGAGGUGGGCCAGACCCCACCGCACGUCGAGAGGAGCGGACCUAGCAUAAAAAUUAUUAUAAAGCAUGCAUUAGAGUAAAAUAUUGCUUUGUUGUUUCAUGUCACUUGAGAGCUAGAAUGACGAAAGAUGGGUAAAAUAUUGCUUUGUUGUUUUACUUGAGUGACAUCCUCGAGAGAGCUAGAAUGGUGAAAUAUGGGUAACGAUCAUUUGGAUGUUCUUACUACUAACAUUGAACUUUAGAGCUGGAGAGAUUUAGAAGUAUCCCUCAAUUUGCAUGUGUCAGAACAUUUGAUGCCUAAUUGACAUCCCAGUUAGCCAGGAAGGUCACUGAUUGCAUAUUCUUUGAUUUGUAUAAUAUUACUGACUCUGUGAAUAUCCUUAGCUUGUUACCAGUGGUAACAUUUGGUGAAAUAUUGAUGAUCCGAUGAAUUGAAAUGAAGCUGAUUUAUCUAUGGUAACCAUUAUAAUUCAGUGCCAUAUGCAUCUUCAUGGUAAUAGUCAAGUGUUCGUGCGUUGCAACGACACAUAAAUUAUUCGAUAAAAUGGUAUUGUACAACGAUUAUAUGAAAACAAUCUUAAUAUCUUAUAAAUUCUUUGCCAAAAACCAAUACACGAAUAUUAGAGAAUGUCAAGUUAAUAUUAGAGGGCAAUAAGAGUCAUCGAGGUUAGCGAGGAAAAGGGUUCUAUCGUGCAUGACGCCGACGAGGCAGCACGUCCUAGCCAUUGCGAGGUCCGGUUGGGCCUCUCACAGGCUUGACACGAGCACGAGGAAGCCUUCCUCCAUGGCCAGGAACAAUGUACUAAGACGACCAAUCUUCCUCUCAAACAUCCGUUGAUAUGAAUCAUUGACGAGAAAAAUUGGUGAAUCAACUAUUUAAAAAGACAACUGGUGAGCUCCAGUACAUUCCUAAUGAUUGACGAGCCACUUCUUUUCUACUGAACAAUUUAUGAAGUAACACCUGCUAAAAUACAACUAUGCUACCGUACUGUAUAAUUUGAAGGGAACAAACACUGUUCUCAUAAAAGUGAUAAUGUAGUAGUUUUUAUAUCAAGAUAAUUAUGUUUUAGCUAAACCACUAUCUAUUAGAAUUUAGCAAAACAAUUACACAAAUUAUUCUCUUUUUUAUCUACUGCAUAAUACAAUAUAACUUGUUAUAAAAAUAUUUGGCAGUUAACAACCAUAUUAUUUGAAUAGGUACCCUAUAUAUUUUUAUCAUAACUUCAGGAAAUUAAAAAAGAUUGACAACACCCAUAAGCUCAUUUUAUUCACCGAACUCAUAGAAAUCUGAAACCUGAUUGCUACCAUAAUUCCAGCAAAAAAAGUGCUUGCUGGCUCUUACCAAUUCCCUCUAAAGCACCGAUCUUAGACUUAAUUUGAACUAUAGUAUUGGUGGACUUCACAUCGAAGUAACAUUCGGUCUCUCGUAUAAAAAUAUAUUGUGUCAAACUUUGCAUUAAAAAACACCAGAGUAAGAAUGACGGAAUGACGGUACAUGUAUAAAGCACAAUAAAAUAAUAAAAACAAAUACAGUAAGCACCACACAUAAAUCUUAAUCCCUUUUGAUAUUACCCACUUAGCUUCACAAUGUACAACAACGUUAGUACUUAGUACUCGAGCAACUCGUACCACAAUCCCAUUUGAUACUAUAGCAAUUACUACUAAGAAUGUUGAUGAAAUCUUAGGGCUACUAAAUGACUUCCAAGAACCGGUAAAAGUUGAGCCCUUAAACUGAAGUCUCACAUAAUCAUCAACUACAAAAGUUGACACAACAUCCUCCCUGUAUUCUUUCAACUUAAUCUCCUCUUCCCUGCUAGGCACCAUCUCCAAGAGUUCGAUUCCAAGGCUCUCUGUCUGCCCUGCUUCCAAUAAUGGUGAACAGUCAGAGGAAACCUGAGCAGCUUUGUAGGGAUUCAUGGUGCUCCCCGCAACAUCCUUCCUCUAUGCACCUGACUUGAACUCGGCAAGGUACAUGCCAAAUCAUCGUGAGUAGAAAUCAGAUAUCCAAGAGAUACGUGUAGGGGGCGGGUAAAAAACAUGGAACACAAAUUUAUAUUUCAACCAUGUACUAUAGGAGACAACAUAGGAUCAUGCAUCAUACAGGCAAAUUCAUAGAUAAGCAACCAACCUUACUAAAAACCAGCAUCCUGCCACUCCCAUUAUCUAGACAAAUAUGUAUACACAGAUCUUAAGUUUUGAUCUCUACAAACCACAACUUGCAUGGUCUAGAUCCGCUAGCGAUAACAGUAUACCUGUGGUAGUCGCCCUUCAUCUUGAGGUAGAAUACCUUGGACUCGGUGGCAUUGGUUGAAUGGAAGCUAUGGAACAACAAAAUCACAAUGGAACACAUGCAUACUGAGCCACAUCCAUUGAAAAAUGAACGGGGGAGAAAUGGCAAGAAGGAUGAUGACCUGAAAAAUGAAGCAUUACCUUUUGGUGAUUUCUCUUGUGGGACUAUCUCUGCAAGUUCAGACUUUACAGGAGAGGCAGCUCCAAGGCUUUGCAAAGAGCACACCGCCGAUGCUGAAAGUAUAUGGAACCGUUCAGUUGCGAGUGUCAUAGGUUAAAGAGCACAAUCUAUCCAAAAAACACCGAAAAAGAACUCUAAAAAAGGAAACAAAACACACAAGAACCGAAGCCAUGGUCCGAAGCACAAAAAAAGGAAUGUCAAAUGGCACGAAGAAAUUGAGGAGUAUCUUGUGGAGAUAUCGUGUAGCCAUGGUCCAUAUCAUCAGAGGCAGCAUCAGAGGAGCCCAUCCUGCGCUUGCCCGACCCACCAGCUAGUAGGCCGCCACCUGCCGCUGGCAUCGUCGGCCGGCCAGGGCAUGGGCGGCGUGGAGCCAUGAAAUGACUCACAAAAUAUUAGCUUCAAAGAAAAGGACAAACUUCAAAUAUAAACAUCACUGUGUGCUAAACACAAACUUCAAAUAUAAACCUGUAUCAAUUUCUAUUUUCUACUGAAGCAGUGUUUGUUGCCUUUUGACAAUUUGACUUGGCUCCUAACAUAGUGAUGUUUAUAUUUGAAGUUUGUCACCUCACCGUUGCCGCUAGAAUCACACAACCGGGAGGGGAUGCGGAGCCUACCUGGAAAUUGCCGCAACAGAGGUUGGUUCAAUGGUGAAAAAUUUGACCUGAUAUAGCUUAAGCCAGAACCCUUUAGCUUCCUCUCACGCGGCUCUUACAGAUCCAUGUGAGAAAAAAAUGUGACAGGUCACAUGCAAGUAAGGAAAAAACAUACCAUGUUUGGAUGUGAUUGAAGAGCACAUUCCAAUGCCACAUGAGAAGCCUUGCGUCCCAUCAAGCGAAUAAAGUAGUAAUACUAUCAUUUAGAGUAAAGACACAAGGCAAUUCAGAAAUUAGAUUCAGUAAUUAAAAUUCAUAAGAAAAAACUUUUGGUAGCAUCUUCGGUAAAACUUGAUUACAUUUUUUGCAUAUAAAACAGACAUAAAACAAUCACUUGAUCAUCGCUUCACAGUCAUCAUAGACUGCAGGGAUAGACAUGGGUUAGACGCUACAUUCUUACUUUUCCUAAACUAUUAGGCAUAUCAACACAAAUCUUACCGAAAUAGGAGUCGCACCACAUCGCCACUUGUUCACUGGAUUCUUAAGAUUUUUCACUGUAGCCAUGUAUCCGUUAUCCGUUCAAUCCGGCAGCUAUGAUGUGGUAGCACACAUGCCCCAAAACCUGAGACCAAUAACCCACGUGUUAAACCAACAACAAUCAAUAUUCUUUAUUAAAUGAGCUGGUGAGGGACUUGCGUAGGCAUAAUCGCAAUCAAACUUUGAAGGCAGUGCUCCCCUAGCUUGGUAGCCCAAGAAGUGACAGAUUGCAUUAAACUUCUUUCCUUUGUAAGUGUCCUCCUUCUGCAAAAAUGGCUGAGAACAUUAUGAACUUACAGUGAUAAAGAUCUAUUGUUUGCUUGUGUACAACAGAGUCCAAAGAAAGCAUACCAAACGUUUGUUCAUCUCAGUCUCAACUAACUGGGCUAGCAGCUUUUCAGUCUCAAUCUGCACAAGUGCACAGAAAAAAAAUCGAGGUCAACCAGAAGCAACAAUUUAAAACAAAUUUGAUGGUUUACAUUUCUGUAUUCUAUUGUACCUAGGAAAGUUGAGCUGAAUCAUCAGAUUCAGGAUGUAGUAGUAGCUGCAUUAGAGAAACAAAGAUGUUGAAACAACUGAACUCUGAUGUGAAGUACAAACAUCCUAGAAUUAUCAAAUGAAACAAUACAUACCUAAUACUUAAUUUUGUCAUGCUCAUGGUUGCUUGGAUCUGAUUAUUUGAGACACUUGUGGAGAAUAUUCCUGAACUAUAUGCUCUGCUUUAGGUAUGUUUACACGUCUUAUGACUACCCAUUUAUAAUUUUACUCACUGGAGCUAUUUGUUUAUAGGAAAUCCAUGGCCUCCAUGGUAAAGGUGUUUCUGUUGAGAAUAUCUCUUCUCAACUUUCACCAUGCUUAUAUAGGAUUUUCAAAAAUGAAUAGAAAUAGAGCAUGAUCCUAAUCUGAUUUGAUCCUUAAAUUUUAUAUGCAUAAAGUUUAGACAAUAUUACCACCCCUACAUCUAGGAGAAACAAAUCAAUAUUAUAAAUAGAUUGUGUGUCAGUGCUCCAUUUCAUCUAUUGAAGGAAAGGAUAACCCACAGUUGUACAGGCUGAAUAACUUUAAAAGGGCUACCUCAGUGGCUGUUUGAGCUUUUUUAUUCUGAUUGACGAUUGAUGUAGCAUGAAGCGCAUCCAUUGAACUUAUCUGAUGUUGCAACUGAGUAAUUUCAUUAUCUAAUCUGGAAUCAAGAAAAAAGAGGCUUUAGUUUUUAAAGCAUGUAAACAUGGACACGCAAAAAUGGAACUACAAACACCUUCAACUGCCCAACAGAAAAGACAGAACCUUGCAAUGUCAGCAUUUAUCUUUUGCCCUGAGAUCGCACCCUGAGCAAACUGAAGCAGCUCGUCACGUUUUGCCUGGAAAAGAACAUAGAAGCCAACAUUGCAGUUGAUGCAUUUUAUGCUUUUGCUGCCAUCUAAUAACACCAGGUAGAAAGUACAUUUUACAUGAUUUAUGAAGAUAGCUAAACGAUCAAAUAACUCAUAUACAUGAGUACAUGGUUUAAUACUGAGAACUGGUAAAACAAAAAAGAAAAUUCAUACCAACACUUCGUCACUAUAACUUGAGAAUAACCUUGCCAGGUCCUUUACACUACUUAAGAGUGCAUUGUGCACAUCCUUCCCUCCCGAAAGGCACAUUCUGUAAUGAAGAAUCAUAGCAUUAUAUGUUGCUUGAAUAGAGGUAACAUGGAAAAAUUCAAAGGGGUUUAUAACUCAUAUUAACGUUCUAAAUGUAGUACAGGGGCAGGCAUCUGUAAAGACAAUCAAAAGAUAAUGAACUUGUCAUGUAUACAGUAAUACAUGGCACAUUUUUUGUACACUGGACUCGAGACUUGUUAUGUGAGAACCAGACACGAUCAUAUAUGAACAAAAAAUUUCAAGAACAAAGUAACAAGACAUCAAAUGGUCGAAUAACUUGCCCAAAAACUUCUGAGACCAGUGAAACUUCUUCCUCAGUUGGGGCUUCCCUAAUCUGAUCAUAGAAGACGAGUCAAAUUUUUGAAAUUACCAAACAAUGGUACCUACAUGGCUACAUGGUGGCAACGACAACGAGACCAUUGCAACACCAAAUUGAACAACCACAAAUCCAACUCACCAAGGAGAGAACAACACACUCGAGGGCUUGACUGUAGAGGAAGACAUGGAAAAAGUUCAUCGGCUCCGCACCGCUGUCGUAAUCGAUGUACAAAUCCUGCAACUCCCGCGAGCACAAGUGGUUCGGCGCCUAAUGAGUCGGGAUCACGUAAUGCAAUCCAAAAAAUUCUGCAAACCAAGCGAGUAGCCAGGGAGGGAUGCUGACCAGCAGGGGCGCAGUCUGGUCCGGAUUGUCCCCAAGUUGCGGCUCCCGAACCACCGUGGUCGCGCGCUGGGUCUCCUUGAGCACGACGAGCCACCGGCGCAACAGCUGCACCCGUUCGUCCCCUUUGUAGGAGAGCGCUGCCUUUUCCAGCCUCUUCGCUGCCACCUUCGCGCUCUUGUAACUCUGGCUCCCCUGCGAGAGAACCGAGCGGUUCCUGGCGGCUGGCAUCGGACGACGGAUGGGGUGAAGCUAGGGGCAGAAGGAGAGGAGGCGAGGGAGCGGCCUGGCGCGGCGCUAGGCGAGAUGGGUUGUGGCGGCAGGGAAACAGAGGGUACCAGGGGAGGCCGGCAUGGGAACGGGAGUUAGAGAAUUGAGAAGGUAUAUAUAAUGAUGUACACUUCACUGAACAACAAAGAGGUAUAUAUACAAUGAGGUUGUGAGAAGCUCAAAUCCCAACAAACAAAUAAAAGAAACACAUGGCGGAUUUGAAACAUGGAGCCUAAGUUUCUGAGAGGAUGGCAGAAAACUGCUCUCAAGUCUGUUCAUUAGCUAAGAAAUUAGCAACUUGAAGUUCUAAGAGUGUGCUUAACACGGUUCAGGGUUAAUCAACUUUUAAAAAUGAGAGCAGUUAAAAGGACAAGACAAGAAUAUAGUACCCACACAGUUUUCAGAAUGGGUGAUCAGGAGUUGACAGACUCCUGACUUUUAGUAGAAAAGUAAUAUCGUGUACACCUCAUACCUGAAAUAUUUGUGAGCUUAAACCCAAGUUAUUUUGUUGCCCUCAAUGAUGUUUUGUUGCAGAUACAAGACUGUUGCCACAUAAUAAUGACAAGAACAAAUAUGACUUAAAUUAUAAGAAUAGUUGUCAAAAGCAAAAUCCAUAUAAUGACAGAACCAACAAUAGUUUAUUUCUCAUUCACAAAGUGAGCAUUAGGUAAAAUAUUGUUCAUUCAGAAAAUAAAUUCUAAUAAUGUCUCAACACAGCGUGUUCAAGGGAGGAAAACACCAACACAACUGAAAAAUAGCCCAAGUGCAAUGGCUCAACACAAAUUGCUUGUGCAAACUCUAACAUAAUAAGUUUAACUUUUCCCUAAUCCUUUCUUAAUUGGACUUGAUGAACAAUUUCGAUGUUUCACUUAGAAAUAUGAUUACCUCAUUGAGGUAAUAAACCUUGUGUGCCUUGAAAGCCUUGGUCGGGAACUCGGGAUGAAUUGUGUGGUGGUCCUUACGUUCCAUGCCCUGAUGACCAGCCUGCGGAUCAGCAAAACCAACAUGUUAGCUAGUAAAUCAACAGCUAAGAGCUAGCAGAGAUACACUCGCAGAUGCAAAUUUGACUAUAAACUAAGCGUCAUAGGAGGUUACUGGAUCUAGAUCACUCGGAUCCAGCGAACUCAUCAUUCCAAGAAGAAUAUUCUAAUUCAUCAAGGACCCUGUAUGAUAGUGCCAAUGUUCGCAAGCCCGCCCCACCACAUUCAUUCAGGUGCCUAGUUGUAUCAACUUCAUACAUCCUUCCAUUUUUUGCCAGCCUAUCAAAUAUGAUGCUGCUUGGUUGGAACAAAGAACAAUCAAGGAUAGGCAAGCUGAAGCCAAAAAAAGUAGUGGCAUUGAAAAAGAUAGAACAAACAGGCCAAGCAUGUUGCCAUCACUAAGUAAUCAGGUGUGCAAUUUGCUUCUUAACAUUUUUAAGCUAAUAAAAAAAUUCAAAAUCUGAGUGCAAAUGGCUUGAUGUACAUGCUUAGCCAAAAAUAAUUCCAAAGAGAAUCACAAGUUUUUUUAAAAAACGGUACAUAUCCUACCUGUCUGCGCCCAAAAUAGAAAACGGUAAUGGAUCAAAAUAACUGCAUUGAUCAUGUCAUAUAUCAAGCUACCAACAAGCCCAAUGCUGACAAUGUCACCUCUAUAUCUAUACUAAAUGUGCCUUCUUUAAAAAAUAAAACAGUAGAGAUCAAAUGCCAUGUAGAUAUGGAUAUUUAAAUUCAGAAAGUGACCUACAACAUAUCAAGCAUUUUAAUAGCCACCCAUUAGAUGGACGCUUGGGUUCCUACUAAAUAAGAAAAAAUAACAACAAACCACAACAGCAUAUUGGUUCAGAUGCUGUCAGGAAUAGUCCAGGAUGCGGAUGCAACCAAAGAAAACAUCAAGAUUUUGACCAUCUUCAUUCUGGUUAAUGUACCGGUUUUAUCAGACAAAAUUGUAUGAACCCGGCCAAGUUCCUCAUUGGCUCAUUCAAGUUUGAUGUACGCACCUGAGUGGUAUUGCCGAUCUCCUAAUCAAACAUAUGAAUAUCCCAGUUAAUGAUAUGUGCUUGCAACGCCUUCACAAGUUCAACCAAGACAUACAAUAUUGGAAUUAGAUACCUAUAAGGAAUGGGAGCCAUGAUUAGAUGGAAUAUCCUAGAAAGAGCAGGCAUGAUGGAUCAUCUAGCUUAUUGCUUUCCUGUGACUGCAAGUACCACCAGUGGGGAAAAUCUAACUUGAUCCACACAACGAAUCCAAUUGAUGAGCCCAUCAGGAUGAACCACGACGCGGCCUACACAGAUCAACGACCACACAAAGUAAAUAUAGAACAAAAAUACAAAUAUAUAUAUGUUAUGUUGGUUAGGUGGGUGUGAAUAUGAGUUUAGAGAACGCUAGAGAACACGACGACAAUGAAAAUCGUAGAACUUAAAUGAGAGCCACAUCACAUGUUCCAUAGAGAUCUUCAAGUUCCAAUAGAUAUCUGCUUAAUAUGGUUAGAUGCUAAGUAACUUGUUUUCUUUCUGUUAUAUCAAGCAGAUAUCUAUUGGAUAUAUUAAUUAUCUAACCAGUGGUGAGAACAUAGCUAUUGGGAAAUGACAAGAGAUCAACAUCCAAAUAUCAGGCAAUAGCCAGUUAACAGAAAACCUAUAACUUGAUGACCAUGAGGUUUUGGAUGUGGUACAGAGUUUAAACUAAGAGCUACAUCGGCAUAUAAUGAGGGUUUGUCAUGCCCAUAUAUCUAUCAAAAUUGUAGUAAUUUCAGAGUUGAGUCUUAUGCAUCCUCGAGUUUCAUUAGAAUAAAUAAUCAAACAUUAUAUUGGUAUUGAAACUAAAACCAUGAUAAUCCAUGUUUCAUUCAUCUUUCUUCGUGUUAUUGCUAAUCUUCGCUCUAUGCCAAUUCCGGGGCUGCUUCCGGUUCAGUCAUGCUUGCAUCCACCGGUGGUGUCGGUGUGGCUUCCACAACCUCGUUCUUCCUGGUCUGGCCGUCUAGAUGAGGUGGUUGUAGCUGCCCUUCUCCUUGAACAGCUGCGAGAAAUGGAUCUUACAAUACAUGAUCCCGUUGAGUCACCUUCCAACGACGUCUGAAUAACAUAAACAUCAGUUGCGGUUAUAUGGUCAUGUUGUUAAACUUGUUUUCUUACACAUCUUUGACACGCUGGUAUUUGUGUGCUACUGUUUGCCAGAGCUACAAAAAUAAAACAACAUUUUUGUACCUUCUCCAAUGGAUACACGGUAUUCUGGCAGGAUGUGCAUUUGUCUUGAGUUCCAGAGAAUACAGAUGACGAGCUUUAGAGCUUGAUCUUGAGUAAACAACCUAAAUACAUUCUAUAAACAUUUAAGAUCCAUUUUACGGUAACUAAUUAUACUGGUAAAAUUUCACAAACAAGAUAAGCGUUCCACCUAAAUUAUAAAUCCAACUAAAAUUGUAUGCAUACAGGAAGAGGUAGAAAGGCCAUCAGUACCAAAGAAACUUAGAUCCUUUACCUAAUAUAGAGAGCAAAACCGUGCUGCUUAGCUUGGAACCCUGCGAGAGUAACUUGAAUCUUUAGGUAUAAGCCAUUGCUUCAUAUAGUCCAGCAAACAAGUAAAUAACAAUUAUAUCAUAUAUGUUUCCUGGUAGCAAAAAGCAAAAUGUCAGGAUCUUAAAUCACUUAAAAAUUAAACUAAACAAAAAGCCAGAAUCUUAAAUCACUGGGAAAAAAUAAACUAAAGGCAUCUCAGAGACAUAUACAAUUUAGUAAUUGGUUGAAUUUGCAUCGAAGAAUCAUUCAUGCUUACAAGAUUGUUAACAUCAGCAUGUGGACGCAAGUAAACUAAGCAUAAAUCAAAUAUUUGCCAUACUCACAGAAGAGAACAAUGACUCAUGAAGCUACUGGAAUGUCACACAACAUCAAAAUGACAAAAUCCAACUAUGUAAAUUAUGAAACUUGGUAGAAGGAUUACAGAUACCUUCUUGCAGUGAAGCCCUUGAUGUCCCCGUUAGCAUCUCCCCUACAGAAAAGGGGAAAAACAUACUGAUCCUAAGAUAAUUUGCAAUGGAUUGGGGUUCUAACUAUAAGUUUAGUGAUUUGAUCACAAGUCUGCAUAAGGGCACAUGGUUUGCAGGCUUUGCAUGCAUACCUCCUCCUUGCCUCCUCCUCCUCCUCCUUGUUUUUUUAAUUUGGCGAUUCUUCAUUAGCCAUGUACAAAUGAAAUAAUCGAAGCAACACUCAAUCGAUAUGUAGAGCCUAGUGGCUUAUUUCGCUUUUUUGGUUGCGAUCGGUAAAUAGUAAACUAAACUACAUGCAGUAAAUAAUAAACUAAAUUCCUAUCCAAACAGAGCUAAAAGGCAAAUAUGUCUACCAACAUAAAUAGCAGCAGGCAAACACAUAUAUUACAAGAUCCAAACUGUUGCUACCUAUUUAAACAGGGUUAGAAAUCCAGUAUGCAACAAAUGUACACCAUCAGUUGAAAAAUCAUUAAUCAGAUGUAAUCUAAAAUAAUACCACAACCUAGCAUAUUAGGUGAACUUUUAGAAUCCCCAAAAGAGAGUUCCCGGGGGGUGAGCUUGUAGUGUAAGAACACAGGGCAAGAUCAACUGAAAGUAAGGAAUUAAUUAGUUACGCUGGUGCUCUGCUCUCAUUGUGAUGUGGCUCUUCUCAACCAGCGCUAUCUGAGGAUUACAAGCAAAGCAAGAAAGCAGGAAUAGCACAAAAAAAAUUCUCACUCGGAGCUACAUAACGUUCACCCUUUCUUGGGCCUGGAGAAGAACCUGCCCAGGCUGAGCCCGCCACUGCCGCUCUCUUCGGCGGCUUUCUUGGGCGCCGGAGCAGCGAUGACAGCGGGGGGCUUGCUCUUGCUCCCCACCUUAUUCAGGAUGGGGUUUGUCUCCAGCAUCUGCUCCUCCCUGUACAACGCGCCGAAGAUGGUGUCGAAAAGGCCCUUCUGCUCCCGCUUCCCCGUCGUAGGGACGUGCGCCGUGGAGAGACAGCGUGCACGGCGGCCCACGCUCGUCGUCCUAGCCAACGACCAUGCCAUAGUUGGCACGACCGUGACGAAGCCGGACUGCUGCAGCUCUAGCACCGCUACCGCGUUCGAUGACGACGAUAUCAUCUCCGUCGUCGCGUGAGAUCCGAUCCGGAUAGGGGUCUGAGCGCCCCGAUCUAGGUCCGGCCGAGUGUGGACCAGUGCGAAUGGUAGGGGUGGAGCGGAUGCUGGGGUCGAGGGCGGGGACGAUGGAAUCCGAAGUCGAGGUCGUCCUCCAUCAGGCUCUUAGUCCAGACCACCUCGUCGUCGCUGCCGUUAGAAGAGGACGCCUCCGUGAGCGCUGUGUAGAGGGGAGGGGAGAUGGCGGGGAGAGGCGAGGAGGCGGGCCGGGCGGCGCGGACGUCAUUUCCGGAGGACGGGCGCGGCGUGAUGUGCGGGGGCGGGGGCACGACGCACCCUGUGGACGCCCACGUAACCGUCGAUCCGGAGGGGAUCCGUGGCCCAGCGAGAAGACGACGUCGGAGGGAGCAGGGCACGGUAUCCAGGGGCUGCAAGCGCUGCUAGGGUUUCGUGGCCCAACGGGGAGGCGGUGAUGGCGGGUCCGGCGAGGCGUGGGGACGGAGGACUCCAACGUCUUGGGGAGGUCCAGAGCAAGGGGGACGGUGCACCGACGACGGAGGUGGAGGCGGAGGGAGGGAGCGGUUGCCAACGUGCGGAGAACUGCGAACGGGAGGGAGGAGAGGGAGCUAGGUGGUUGCUCGCGUGGACGGGAAGGGGCGACGCACGCGGCUGACGGACGACGCACGAAAAACAGUGACGUGGGAUGGACGGUGGAGAUUGAGGGAUGGCAGAACGGCAGAACGACAGGGAGGCAGACUACUCUUACCUUCUUAAUAAGUAGUAUAGAUUUUAUGGUACAUACUGCUGAAAGCGUCCUCUUCCUGAAUCCUCCUCCACGCGGCCUGCCGUUUCCUCGUUACAACUGAUGGGUUGCAUCAGACAGGACCUAUUCACAGCGUAUACGCCAACGGCAUCCUUUCUGUUUUGUUCUCAUUCGACUUUGAUGAUGAUGACGAGACGGUUAUCGUUCCCCUUCUGGUCGAAUCGUGUACCAUAGUGGCCUGUUUCACUAUUCCGCUUUCCCUAUUUUUGCACUCAUAUAUCUUUUAUUUUUGUUUAUAG